GCAGACACAUUCCAGCCAAUCAGCAGCAGACCCUCCCUCCCAGACCCUCCCACCUCCUGGACAGCAUCCAUUGUGAAGCUGCAUUCUUAGUGAUGCUGUCCAGGAGGUGGGAGGGUCUGGGAGGGAGGGUCUGCUGAUGAUUGGCUGGAAUGUGUCUG
rnacentral:miRNA from 1 species